AAUAUUUAUUACUUUCAUCUACAUUGCUUUUAAUGUAUGAUUUCACGAGUAGUUGCAGUUUUCUUCAAUUGUCUCUGGCAGACUAUACACGUUAAAACUAAAUAAUUUCACAAUUUCUACCCUAUUAUAGGUUUAUAUUUUAAUGAAAUGUGAUCAGUUACUGAAAAAUAUAUAAACUCCGAUCAAGCUAUAGUACUGAACGCUUGAUAAACAAUUACUUAUAUGAAAUGAUCAAAAGUAUAAGGCGCUCAGAGCCAAUUUUGGAACACCUCAUAAAAUAUUUUCAGAAGAAGUGAAUGCAACUCUGGGAGGUAGCUGAAAAUCAAAUCAAUUGUAGAAUUUGUGCUCGCAAGAAGUUUUUCAGGAAAGUUUUCGCAAAUAUAGUGUUUUUAAUCAACGUUUAUAAGUUUUGAGUUCGCAAAAUAUUGAGUAUUUUUUAAAUAAGUGUUACAAACUUUUCCUUCGCAAUACACGCGAAUUGUGCGCAGUAGAACCAAUUUGGAAAUAUCGUGCAGAUCUGGAAGUUUCUGGCCAACCAGCACCUACCGAAAUCUACAUAUAAGCACAAAUAUUUUUAGUAAAGAUGCCGAAAAGAUGUGUGUGCAAAUGAGCAGAAGGAGGUUCUCUCUACAAGUUUCCUUCGGCUUCGGAUGGAGAAAUGUCAAGGCUUAUCGAUACGUGAAGUAAACGACCACAGAUUUUCGCAUCAAACCGGUUUCGUGGACUUAUAUUAAAUUCAUAUUUUUUAACAUCGCACCUUUUUUUGUUAAAUUUAUUAUUUUAUUGUAUCUUUAAGUACAAUGACUUUAACCUUUUAGAAAGUUAGGUAAGAUGAUACGUGCUGUUAAUUCGUCUUUAUAUCUAAUUAUUUUUAAAUAGCAUCUAUUCGCGCAGUUAAAUUUAUAUUUGUACUUCGGGUUUCAGCUGCUUUCUAGUAAAAAGUAUAAGACUUACGUUUUUUUUAAGUUAAAGUAUUUUAAUUAUGAAAUCUAUAUUUUCAUAUACAUAUGUAUGUACUGCGGUUUUCAGCUGCCUUUUAGUAAUAAGUCUUAGACUUAAUUUUUUUUAAGUUAAAAAGUGUUUUAAUUAUAAAAUUACAUAAUGA